rnacentral:lncRNA from 1 species
GUACACCUAAAGACUCUGAAGACUGUACAUCUGAAGACUCUGAAGACUUCACAUCAGAAGACCUCUAUGUAAAGAUUAAUCAAGUUAACACUAAAGACUACUCAUCAAAACAACUAUCUGAAGAAUACAAGCUCUGCUCAAAGACUCUGAACUCCGCUCACUCCGAUUCACGCCUAACAGAUCAUCUGACUCAUCAAAAUCAGAAACUUAAUUAAGAAGUAUUCUAAGAAUGGUAUGAGUCUAU